GUGCUCACUUCAGCAGCACAUAUACUAAAUAAAAUUGGAGCAACACAGAGAAGAUUAGUACAACCCUUGCACAAGGAUGACAUGCAAAUUCAUGAAAUGUUCCAUAUUAAA
rnacentral:snRNA from 1 species